UGGUAUUUAAUGUCAGAUGAAGCUGUUCCUCAUGUUCCUCUUUCUUUGCAUCCUGAGCACCAAGCUAAGGAAUUGGGAGGAGUGGUAAAGCGCUCUCUGGCAGCUGGGGACUGGCAGGACACCUCGGUCACCAACUUAAGGUAUUCUAAAAGCACAGACAUAUAGUGUAUAAAAUGUUCAGCUACUGAUGAAGUCCUGUUGCAGCAUAAGAUGCUCACACGUCAUCAUGGAAGAGAAAAAACAAAUCAUCCUCAAGCUCCAGCUCUUCUGCAGCACCUCCCCUCUCAGUUAUGGGCUGAAGAGCCCACAGAUGUAGGACUAACCCCCUGCGCCCCAGUCUCUUUUCAGGUUGCAUCUCCCUCGCCUAGUUGGGUUCCACAGUAUCCACACAAACAACAAGCUCAGGAAGGCAUCAGAGACACCAUUGAAGGCCUGAAGUCAGCAGGUGUGUUAGAACCCUGAGCCUCAUCAUGGAAUACACCCAUUCCUUCCUGUAGAGAAAAAAGGUACUGGAAAAUACCGCAUGGCACGUGAUUUAAGAGCAAUAAAUUCAGUUCUGGUGACUCCUACUGUUCCUGUCCCAAAUCUCUAUGUUGCUUUCUCCAACCUUGAACCUUCACAGCAGUGGUACACAUGUAUUGAUCUAGCUAAUGCCUUUUUCUGUUUGCCAUUAGCAGAAGAGUGCAGAGAAAUUUUUUCGUUCACCUAUUGUGGGGAGCAGCUGCGCUACACCCGUCUGCCACACGGGUUCGCCCUUUCACCAGAUAUAUUUAAUCAGGUUUUGAAAGAUGUGUUACAGACUACCUACCACAGAACGUGACUCUCAUUCAGUACGUGGACAACGUACUAGUGGCAGCAUCCACAGCGGAGCUCUGUUUGCAGUCUACAGAACUCGCGCUAAGAAAUCUGCAUAAACAUGGAUUCAAGGUCAGUAAAAAUAAACUACAAAUAGCAAGGAAGCAAGUUUCCUUCCUGUGCAGAGUUAUUACUGCAGGACGCACGAGCAUGUCAGGUUCACAUAAGCAAAGUAUUUUAACACACCCUAAACCUCUUAGGGUGAAAGACAUGCUGUCAUUUUUGGGACUUACAGGCUACAGUAGGACCUACAUCCCACGUUACACCGAUCUCACACAGCCCCUCAGAGACCUAAUUAGAGAACAGGGCAUGUGAUAUCUCAAUAAUGUCCUUAAUUGGACACAGGAAGCAGAGGAAGCCUUUAUUGCGUUAAAGAAGCUUCUCUCCAACGUGGCAGAGCUGACGCUCCCAGACUACACCACACCAUUUUAUUUGGAUGUUUCUGCAACAAAACUGGCAGUAAAUUGAGUUUUGUUUCAGAAAAAAGGGGAAGAGAGGAGAGUGCUGAUGUAUGCUUCAGUAAUGAUGGAUAACAUGGAAAAACGCCACCCACAAUGCACACAACAUGCAGCAGGGUUGGCAAAAUUAAUUAAAAAAACAGCUCACUUAGUGAUGAGACACCCUCUGAAUGUUUUAACAACUCACAGUGUGGUGGCAUAUGUGAACUCUCAAAGUUUUACCAUGACAGCUCUGAGACAACACAGGCUCAGCAAAAUCUUGGAGGCACCCAACAUAACCUACACUCACGAGGGAAUCAACAUGGCGGAUGGAAUAACACAGGGGGAACCACAUCAAUGUGAAGAGCUGGUUUGCAGGACAGAAAAGGCAUGACACAGAAGGACUAUGCUGUCGUGGAGCAGACAGAAUCAGGAUUGAUAACAAUGGAAGCAAGAAGGUGUUCAGUGAACUCAACCACAGGAUACACUCCAUAGGAGCUGGAAACCGGAAGGAGUUUUCCAGGACCACGAGGAGCAGUUCUGACAUCUGUUGGGACCCACAGCCAUGGAUUUCAACAUUAAACUACGGUAAAUACUUUUCUGGAACUUACAAAAUAAAUUGCUUUUAAUAGACUUUCAGCACAACUUCAGAAGGGGGAAGGUAACAGAGGACUUCCCAUGAUGCCACUGCCCGCAUAAAACCCCCACCUUCCCACAAGUCUUUCUCUUCCAAUGGUGAUCAUCCGGUAGGGGAGACAAAGGGCGCUGAUGUCUCUUUGCUGGCAAACAGACAUAAACUCUUCAAACUGGAUCCAAGAGUGUCAUACGAUCAUCGAUCAUAUGCAAAGUUAAGUAUGAAUGAAAUACUGUCUGUGUAUCCGGUAUUUUCAUUCAUGAACGGGGGUAAUUAAGGUACAAGCAUUGCUUGACUUUCUCUCCGAGCCCUGUAGGAGCGGACUGGACGGUCCGCCCAGCAACAGCUCCGGAGCUAACCCUUUUGUUCAGAGCGAACGCACCUUCAACCCCCCGCAAAGCUACCGAGCUAACAGCUUGUUGCCUGUGGGUACUUUCUUCAAACUUCGCCCUUGGACAACGUUUCCUCACCACGGUUCAUGAGGUUAAGUGUUUUGGGCAGAGACAGAUUUAGAAUGAAAUGAUCAAAACGU